rnacentral:tRNA from 2 species
GUAGGUGUGCUGGAAUUGGCAGACAGGCACGCUUGAGGUGCGUGUGUUCAACGAACGUAUGGGUUCAAGUCCCUUCACCUGCACCA